rnacentral:rRNA from 1 species
UACGUAGGGCGCAAGCGUUAUCCGGAUUUAUUGGGCGUAAAGAGCGUGUAGGCGGCUUGGUAGGUCCGCUGUGAAAACUCGAGGCUCAACCUCGAGAUGUCGGCGGAAACCACUUGGCUAGAGUCCGGAAGAGGAGAGUGGAAUUCCUGGUGUAGCGGUGAAAUGCGCAGAUAUCAGGAAGAACACCUAUGGCGAAGGCAGCUCUCUGGGACGGUACUGACGCUGAGACGCGAAAGCGUGGGGAGCGAACAGG